AACGAACGCUGGCGGCGCGCCUAACACAUGCAAGUCGAGCGAUUAAAGCUCCUUCGGGAGUGUAUAAAGCGGCGGACGGGUGAGUAAGGCAUAGAUGAUCUGCCCUAAAAUGGGGGAUAGCUCAGGGAAACUUGGGUUAAUACCGCGUAAGCUGAACAAUUUAAUGUUUGUUUAGUAAACUUCGGCCGUUUUAGGAUGAGUCUAUGUUCGAUUAGCUAGUUGGUAAGGUAAUAGCUUACCAAGGCUCCGAUCGAUAGCUGGUCUGAGAGGAUGAUCAGCCACACUGGAACUGAGACACGGUCCAGACUCCUACGGGAGGCAGCAGUGAGGAAUUUUGCGCAAUGGGCGAAAGCCUGACGCAGCGACGCCGCGUGGAGGAUGAAGUCUUUCGAGAUGUAAACUCCUGUCAGUGGGAACGAUAGUGACAGUACCCACAGAGGAAGCACCGGCUAACUCCGUGCCAGCAGCCGCGGUAAGACGGAGGGUGCAAGCGUUGUUCGGAAUUACUGGGCGUAAAGCGUACGUAGGCGGUUGGUUAAGUCGAAUGUUAAAGUCUGGGGCUCAACGGUAAAAUUGCCAUUGAUACUGAAGAGCUUGAGUACAUUUGAGGUAAGCGGAAUAUGUAGUGUAGCGGUGAAAUGCAUAGAUAUGACAUAGAACACCUAUUGCGAAGGCAGCUCACUAAGCCAUUACUGACGCUCAGGGACGAAAGCGUGGGUAGCAAAACAGGAUUAGAUACCCUGGUAGUCCACGCCGUAAACGAUGAUAACUCGCUGUUGGCAAUAUACAGUCAGCGGCCAAGCGAAAGCAUUAAGUUAUCCACCUGGGGAGUACGGUCGCAAGACUGAAACUCAAAGGAAUUGACGGGGGCCCGCACAAGCGGUGGAGCAUGUGGUUUAAUUCGAUCAUACGCGAGGAACCUUACCUGGGCUUAAAUGCAGAACGACAGACUGGGAAACCAGUCCUUCUUCGGACGGUCUGCAAGGUGCUGCAUGGUUGUCGUCAGCUCGUGCCGUGAGGUGUCGGGUUAAGUCCCAUAACGAGCGCAACCCCUAUCGUUAGUUGCCAGCGGGUCAUGCCGGGGACUCUAACGGGACUGCCACCGUAAGGUGAGAGGAAGGUGGGGAUGACGUCAAAUCAGCACGGCCCUUAUGUCCAGGGCUACACACGUGUUACAAUGGCCGAUACAAAGGGCAGCUACCAGGUGACUGGAUGCUAAUCUCUAAAGUCGGUCUCAGUUCGGAUCGAAGUCUGCAACCCGACUUCGUGAAGCUGGAUUCGCUAGUAAUCGCAUAUCAGCCAUGAUGCGGUGAAUACGUUCCCGGGCCUUGUACACACCGCCCGUCAAACAAUGGAAGCUGGGGGUACCUGAAGUCGGUCGCCGCAAGGAGCUGCCUAAGGUAAAACUAGUAACUGGUGUU
rnacentral:rRNA from 1 species